rnacentral:rRNA from 1 species
CAGGUUUGAUCCUGGCUCAGGAUGAACGCUAGCGGCAGGCUUAACACAUGCAAGUCGAGGGGCAGCAUAAUGGUAGUAAUACUAUUGAUGGCGACCGGCGGACGGGUGCGUAACGCGUAUGCAACCUACCCUUUACAGGGGGGAUAACACUGAGAAAUCGGUACUAAUACCCCAUAAUAUUCUGGGAGGCAUCUUUCGGAGUUGAAAGUUUUGGUGGUAAAGGAUGGGCAUGCGUUGUAUUAGCUAGUUGGUAAGGUAACGGCUU